GAUGAACGCUGGCGGCGUGCCUAAUACAUGCAAGUCGAGCGAACAGAUAAGGAGCUUGCUCCUUUGACGUUAGCGGCGGACGGGUGAGUAACACGUGGGUAACCUACCUAUAAGACUGGGAUAACUUCGGGAAACCGGAGCUAAUACCGGAUAACAUUUGGAACCGCAUGGUUCUAAAGUGAAAGAUGGUUUUGCUAUCACUUAUAGAUGGACCCGCGCCGUAUUAGCUAGUUGGUAAGGUAACGGCUUACCAAGGCGACGAUCCGUAGCCGACCUGAGAGGGUGAUCGGCCACGCUGGAACUGAGACACGGUCCAGACUCCUACGGGAGGCAGCAGUAGGGAAUCUUCCGCAAUGGGCGAAAGCCUGACGGAGCAACGCCGCGUGAGUGAUGAAGGGUUUCGGCUCGUAAAACUCUGUUAUUAGGGAAGAACAAAUGUGUAAGUAACUGUGCACGUCUUGACGGUACCUAAUCAGAAAGCCACGGCUAACUACGUG
rnacentral:rRNA from 1 species